GACGAACGCUGGCGGCGUGCUUAACACAUGCAAGUCGAACGGAAAGGCCCUGCUUUUGUGGGGUGCUCGAGUGGCGAACGGGUGAGUAACACGUGAGUAACCUGCCCUUGACUUUGGGAUAACUUCAGGAAACUGGGGCUAAUACCGGAUAGGAGCUCCUGCUGCAUGGUGGGGGUUGGAAAGUUUCGGCGGGUGGGGAUGGACUCGCGGCUUAUCAGCUUGUUGGUGGGGUAGUGGCUUACCAAGGCUUUGACGGGUAGCCGGCCUGAGAGGGUGACCGGCCACAUUGGGACUGAGAUACGGCCCAGACUCCUACGGGAGGCAGCAGUGGGGAAUAUUGCACAAUGGGCGGAAGCCUGAUGCAGCAACGCCGCGUGCGGGAUGACGGCCUUCGGGUUGUAAACCGCUUUCGCCUGUGACGAAGCGUGAGUGACGGUAAUGAGUAAAGAAGCACCGGCUAACUACGUG
rnacentral:rRNA from 1 species